GACGAACGCUGGCGGCGUGCUUAACACAUGCAAGUCGUACGGUAAGGCCCUUUCGGGGGUACACGAGUGGCGAACGGGUGAGUAACACGUGAGUAACCUGCCCACAACUUUGGGAUAACGCUAGGAAACUGGUGCUAAUACUGGAUAUGUGCUCCUGCUGCAUGGUGGGGGUUGGAAAGCUCCGGCGGUUGUGGAUGGACUCGCGGCCUAUCAGCUUGUUGGUGGGGUAGUGGCCUACCAAGGCGGCGACGGGUAGCCGGCCUGAGAGGGUGACCGGCCACAUUGGGACUGAGAUACGGCCCAGACUCCUACGGGAGGCAGCAGGGGGGAAUAUUGCACAAUGGGCGCAAGCCUGAUGCAGCAACGCCGCGUGCGGGAUGACGGCCUUCGGGUUGUAAACCGCUUUCAGCAGGGACGAAGCUUUUUGUGACGGCACCUGCAGAAGAAGCACCGGCUAACUACGUG
rnacentral:rRNA from 1 species